rnacentral:rRNA from 1 species
AUUGAACGCUGGCGGCAUGCCUAACACAUGCAAGUCGAACGAGACCUUCGGGUCUAGUGGCGCACGGGUGCGUAACGCGUGGGAAUCUGCCCUUGGGUUCGGAAUAACAGUUAGAAAUGACUGCUAAUACCGGAUGAUGACUUCGGUCCAAAGAUUUAUCGCCCAAGGAUGAGCCCGCGUAGGAUUAGAUUGUUGGUGAGGUAAAAGCUCACCAAGGCGACGAUCCUUAGCUGGUCUGAGAGGAUGAUCAGCCACACUGGGACUGAGACACGGCCCAGACUCCGACGGGAGGCAGCAGUGGGGAAUAUUGGAAAAUGGGCGAAAGCCUGAAGCAGCAACGCCGCGUGAGGGAUGAAGGCCUUCGGGUUGUAAACCUCUUUUCUCAGGGACGAUGAUGACGGUACCUGAGGAAUAAGCCACGGCUAACUACGUGCCAGCAGCCGCCGUAAUAC